rnacentral:rRNA from 1 species
GGGGGGGGCAAGCGUUGUUCGGAAUUACUGGGCGUAAAGGGCUCGUAGGUGGCCACCUAAGUCCGACGUGAAAUCCCUCGGCUCAACCGGGGAACUGCGUCGGAUACUGGGUGGCUUGAAUCCGGGAGAGGGACGUGGAAUUCCAGGUGUAGCGGUGAAAUGCGUAGAUAUCUGGAGGAACACCGGUGGCGAAGGCGGCGUCCUGGACCGGUAUUGACACUGAGGAGCGAAAGCCAGGGGAGCAAACGGGAUUAGAUACCCUGGUAGUCCACGCCCUAAACGAUGACGACUAGUUGUUGGGGUAGAAGUACCUUAGUAACGCAGCUAACGCGUGAAGUCGUCCGCCUGGGGAGUACGGUCGCAAGAUUA